AUGAACGCUGGCGGCGUGCCUAAUACAUGCAAGUCGAGCGAACAGACGAGGAGCUUGCUCCUCUGACGUUAGCGGCGGACGGGUGAGUAACACGUGGAUAACCUACCUAUAAGACUGGGAUAACUUCGGGAAACCGGAGCUAAUACCGGAUAAUAUAUUGAACCGCAUGGUUCAAUAGUGAAAGACGGUUUUGCUGUCACUUAUAGAUGGAUCCGCGCCGCAUUAGCUAGUUGGUAAGGUAACGGCUUACCAAGGCAACGAUGCGUAGCCGACCUGAGAGGGUGAUCGGCCACACUGGAACUGAGACACGGUCCAGACUCCUACGGGAGGCAGCAGUAGGGAAUCUUCCGCAAUGGGCGAAAGCUUGACGGAGCAACGCCGCGUGAGUGAUGAAGGUCUUCGGAUCGUAAAACUCUGUUAUUAGGGAAGAACAAAUGUGUAAGUAACUAUGUACGUCUUGACGGUACCUAAUCAGAAAGCCACGGCUAACUACGUG
rnacentral:rRNA from 1 species